UUUUUUUGUUUUGUUUUUUGUUUUUUUUUUUAGUUGUCUUGCCUAAAAGGUUUGUUAUGUCUUUCCUGUCCUCUUUCUAUGGUUUGGUUUUUUGAAGAAGAAAUGUAGUAUUGGCCUCUCCCUUAGGUUCAGUGUGUAUUCUCUACGGCCGAACCAAUUCUAUGUAUUAGCAGCCAUCCUGGAUCCCUGAAGACGAGCAGCUGAAGAGGUGGAAAUGUGGUUGACUCUUAAUUUCCUUUUCAGCAAACAGAUUUUAUUAAAGUUUAUUCCUUCAGAUACUCUUUAUAGCAGCUGAGAGGCUCAAACACUUGAUGGCUGUGAGCUAAAGUUUCUUUAGAGUCUGCAGGAGGAAGAUAAAAUCAAGUCAGUCCAACUGGUUUCAGGUAAAUUCGUGUGAAAAUCAUACUGUUAACUUGAAGAUUUUACUAGGGUGGUCCAUGGAUAAAAACUGAUACAAAUCACUAUUAGUGUGAUUUUUUUUUUUAAAAAUUACUGUUUUUUUUUUUUUUUAAGAAUUAAAUGGCGUAAUACUUCAACAUUUUGGCAAAAACCUAAUUUCUUGAAUCUUUGGUUCAUUUUCCAUUCAUAUUUCUGUAAGAUAAGAUGUACUCAUUUUAAUUGGACUAAGCAGUAAACCUAUUGAUAAGUGCCAGAAGGACAUGUACAUACGAUUCUUUUUUUUUUUUACAUGUGAUUCUUUAAUUAUAUUUUUCUGAACUUGUAGCCCAUGUGCUUUAUAUGCAAAAUUUUCAUUAGGCACAAAGCCUUUCUUCAGAUACCACAUUCUGUGAAGGAGAGGAGAUGCCUUAGGAUUCCUUGAACAUCAGAAUUGGUUAGCCUCAGCUUGGGUAAAUAGUCCUUAUGUUGCACUGUUUUCUUCAUAACUUUGGUAUUUAAAAAAAAUGGAUCUUGAGCUAAUCUCACUAUUUCAUUAAAACUUGUUUUAUGUGUUUUCCCUCUUUCCCUAAAAGGUGAGAAAGCUGAACUCUUAAAAUUUUACCAUGGUAUUCAGUGUGCUCAUGUGGAGGAAAAGUGUUACAGAAUAAAAACAGAUUUAAACCUUUGGACAUCUGAUAAUUUAAUAUGCAGUUUUCUGGUUCACCAAGAUGUGCUAAUUAUGAAGUCAUUCAAGUAUCAGUUCUUCACUGAAGACCCCAAAUUCCAGUACACAUAGGUAGGUCUAGUACAAACGUGACAGCUGUCUUUUGGACUCCCUUCUUGUAUUCUCCUGUAAUGAAUGUGUGUUAUGUC
rnacentral:lncRNA from 1 species